GGGCAAUAAGUGAGGAUGGACGAUGUGAGUGUGACUAGUGACAGGGUGACCAUGGAAGACACUGGGCAUGAACUAUGAUAAUGUUACUAGUGGCAUAGUGAUCUGCGCAGACACUUGGCAUUUACUAUGUGAGUGGCAUGGACCAUGGUUGUGUUACUAGUAACAGAAUGGCCAGGGCACUCACUGGGCAUGGGUAAUGGGACUAGUGACAGGUUGAAGGAUCAGCCCUCACUGCUUAGUGGAAAUGAUCAGCUCGGUGACACAGCAAGAGUUCAAGCCACACAUAUUGUGGGAUAUUCUCCAGUGGGAAUCAAUCAGUUGGUGGGCAGAUGGAGAAUGGACACUUUGUGACUUUACAGGAUGAUGUAAGUGUGUUAGAGAGAAUUUGUUAGCAGUACUAUUGGAAUCUGUCAACAUGUGUGUAAUGUAUUGUAAGGUCACACAGAACCCACUAGAUUUGCCAAUAAAGAUCAAAAAGAAUUGAUGUAAGAAGAAUGAUCCUUCCUCAUGGACUUAAUCUUUCUCAUUGAAAAGGGCAAUCUGAUAUCAUCUAAUACAUUUUCUGUCGGUCCUAGUUUUAUGUAAGCCUGGAAGUCUGUAAUAAGGUUUGAAUAAGAUUACAGAAAACCAUUUUAACUCAAUAAGCAAUAGCUACCUUCAUUUAAAUCCACUCUAUGGAGAAAUUGCUUUAUGUGUAUGUUGGUAUCAGUGUGUGUAUUUGUGUGUGGGUAUAAGUGUGUCUGUAGUGUGGGAGUCUAUGUGUGUGAAUAUCAGUGCGAUUAUAUAUGUGUCUGUGUAUAUAGAUAUUAGUUUGGGACAGUGGUUUGGGUGUCAUUGUGUAUAUUAACGGUAUAUAGUGUAUGGGCAUCUGUGUUAGUGUGGAUGUUAAC